rnacentral:rRNA from 1 species
AGAAUCAACGCUGGCGGCGUGCCUAACACAUGCAAGUCGAACGCGAAAGUGGAGCAAUCCAUGAGUAGAGUGGCAAACGGGUGAGUAACACGUGGGUGACCUGCCUUCGAGCGGGGGAUAACGUCCCGAAAGGGACGCUAAUACCGCAUAACAUCCUGCCUUUUAAGAGGUGGCGAUCAAAGCCGGGGAUUCGCAAGAACCUGGCACUUGAAGAGGGGCCCGCGCCUGAUUAGCUAGUUGGUGGGUAAUGGCCUACCAAGGCAACGAUCA